GAUGAACGCUGGCGGUAUGCCUGAGAUAUGCAAGUCGAGCGGCCCGCAAGGGCAGCGGCAGACGGCUGAGUAAUACACAGAAAUCUUCCCCUAAGUAGUGGAUAGCGUUUCGAAAGGAACGGUAAUACACUAUAGUCCCUGUCGUAAGAUAAGGGUAAAGCACGCAAGUGCGCUCAGGGAUGAGUCUGUGGCCUAUCAGGUAGUUGGUGGGGUAAUAGCCUACCAAGCCUAUGACGGGUAGCUGGUCUCAUGAGGAUGACCAGCCAGAGGGGGACUGAGACACGGCCCCCACUCCUACGGGAGGCAGCAAUCAGGAAUAGUCGGCAAUGGGCGAAAGCCUGACCGCGCGAUACCGCGUGUAGGAUGAAGGUCCAAAAGAUCGUAAACUACUGUGGCAGGGGAAGAAAUUAAUGACGGUACCCUGCUAGAAAGGAGCCGCUAACUGCGUGCCAGAAGCGUCGGUAAUACGUGGGCUUCAAGCGUUAUCCGGUCUAAUUGGGCGUAAAGUGUCGUGUAGGUGGUUUGAUAAGUUGCUUUUUAAAUCUGCAGGCUCAACCUGUAAACUGGAAGCAAGACUGUCUGACUAGAAUAUUCUUUAGGGUGAACGGAACUGAGGGAGGAGUAGUGAAAUGCGUUGAUACCCUCGGGAACACUCGUGGCGAAGGCGGUUCACUGGAAGAGUAUUGACACUGAGACACGAAAGCUAGGGGAGCGAAGCAGAUUAGAGACCUGCGUAGUCCUAGCCGUAAACGCAUGCCUGCUGGCUGCAUGAUUUUCCCGCAAGGGAAUUUCGUGUGGCGAAGCUAACGCGUUAAGCAGGCCGCCUGGGAAGUACGACCGCAAGGUUAAAACUCAAAGGAAUUGGCGGGGAGGCACACAACCAGAGGAACAUGUUGCUUAAUUCGAUACAAACCGAAGAACCUCACCAGGGUUUGACAUAUAAGCGUUCUAUGCCUAAGAAACUAGGCAAAUCCGCAAGGAGGCUUACAACGGUGCUGCAUGGCUGUCGUCAGUUCGUUCCGUGAGGAGUGCUCUUAAGUGAGACAACGAACGCAACCCUUAUCGUGUGUUACAAGUGUCACACGAGACUGCCCCUGUUUUUACAUGGGAGGAAGGAGAGGCAGACGUCAAGUCAGCAUGGUCCUUAUGCCCUGGGCUGCAAACAUGUUACAAUGGGUAGUACAAAGAGCUGCGAGCAGGUAACUGCAAGCCAAUCUAUAAAACUACUCUCAGUUGGGAUUGGGGUCUGCAACUCGACCCCAUGAACGCGGAUUUGGUAGUAAUCGUGGGUCAGCUAUACCACGGUGAAUACGUUCUUGCCUCUUGCACACACCGCCCGUCAAACAAACAAAGUUCGUAUUAUUUGAAUCCUGAGGUAUUUAGGAGAGGAUAGUGCGAGCGAUGAGUGUU
rnacentral:rRNA from 1 species